rnacentral:snoRNA from 1 species
CUAUGCAUUAUGAUGAUAACUACCUGACUGACCACCAUGAAGAUAUUAGAAUAAAUCAAAAUAGUCUUUCACCCCUAUCUGAAUGCAACU